GGAGUCGGCCAGACAGUCGCGUCACUCGCAAGAGUGCCGAGGAAAGUCCGGGCUCCAUAGGGCAAGGUGCCAGGUAACGCCUGGGCGGCGCAAGCCGACGGACAGUGCAACAGAAAGAUACCGCCUACGUUCCUUUCGGGGAGCCGGUAAGGGUGAAAUGGUGCGGUAAGAGCGCACCGCGAGUCCGGUAACGGACCGGCACGGCAAACCCCACCUGGAGCAAGACCAAAUAGGGAUCCAUUGGCGUGGCCCGCGCUGGAUCCGGGUAGGUUGCUUGAGCGCUGCGGUGACGUGGCGCCUAGACGAAUGACUGUCCACGACAGAACCCGGCUUAUCGGCCGGCUCCGCCG
rnacentral:RNase_P_RNA from 23 species